UACGUAGGGGGCUAGCGUCGUCCGGAAUCAUUGGGCGUAAAGAGCGUGUAGGCGGCCCGGUAAGUCCGCUGUAAAAGUCAAAGGCUCAACCUUUGAAUGUCAGUGGAUACUGCCGGGCUAGAGUCCGGAAGAGGCGAGUGGAACUCCUGGUGUAGCGGUGGAAUGCGCAGAUAUCAGGAAGAACACCAACGGCGAAGGCAGCUCGCUGGGACGGUACUGACGCUGAGACGCGAAAGCGUGGGGAGCGAACAGG
rnacentral:rRNA from 1 species